rnacentral:rRNA from 1 species
GACGAACGCUGGCGGCGUGCUUAACACAUGCAAGUCGAACGGUGAAGGGACCGGUUUUUGCUGGUUCUGGAUGAGUGGCGAACGGGUGAGUAACACGUGAGUAACCUGCCCCCUUCUUCUGGAUAACCGCAUGAAAGUGUGGCUAAUACGGGAUAUUCUGCGCCUGCUGCAUGGUGGGUGUGGGAAAGAUAUUGUUUCGGUGGGGGAUGGGCUCGCGGCCUAUCAGCUUGUUGGUGGGGUGAUGGCCUACCAAGGCGGUGACGGGUAGCCGGCCUGAGAGGGUGGACGGUCACACUGGGACUGAGAGACGGCCAAGACUCCUACGGGAGGCAGCAGUGGGGAAUAUUGCACAGUGGGCGCAAGCCUGAUGCAGCGACGCCGCGGGAGUGAUGGAGGCCUUCGGGUUGUAAACCUCUUUCGCCAGUGAAGCAGGCCUGUCCCUUUUGUGGGUGGGUUGACGGUAGCUGGAUAAGAAGCGCCGGCUAACUACGUG